AAUUCCCAAGAGGUGGAGCUUCUACCACCAGGGUGGGCACAGCUGCAUUGCAUACUGCCAAUGAUUGGAAUGGGAUUGUUUAUUUCUGCCAGCCUGUCCUCUGUUUGAAUCACGUAUGCUCCGAAAGCUUAGAAUAAAGUGGAAUACUGCAUAGAUCUAAGUGUGCGGUUAUCUUUUCUAUCAUGUUUUGGACUCAUUGAUUUUUCCAGCACCUUACCAAAGAUUAAGACAAGUGUAGCGGUUGUCAUCAUGCAUAACUCUCUGCAAGAAAGUCAGCAUGCAUGCCAUCGGACGCAGCAUGAAGUGAUCCCCGGUGGGAAGCCAGUGAGGGACUGUGUUCUCGUCUCUGCGCAGGUGACUCCUACAUGGUGGUAGCUGGAUGUGAAGGUGUUAAUCUCAACCUCCAUGCAUGGUGAAGCUCACUCUCCGACAGGUGAAACAAAAGCAGCUGGCACAAGUCCACCCGCAUCAGAGGAGAGAUGUUGUUUACACCCUCCCCGGGCCAACAGUGGGAGUUAUAGCAGCAACAAGAACCACAGCGUGAGGGGAACUGGCUGCUCCAAUGUGGGAGAAAACGGGAAAAUGUGUUGAAAAAAUACAAGAAUAAAAUGCCUUGUGAGCUUCUAUUCUUAGCGGGUUUGCCUAUACGCAGGUGUGCUGAGACAUUCACACACAUUCACGAACUUCAUUUUGUUAUUUUAUUCGGCAUCUAUAGUUUGUCAAACCUCUAUUGCCUUGUUGUUCUUUACGGAAACAACGUGAUUUCAAGGCCUGCAUGUGAUCUGUCAUGUUUUUCCAUUUUGUAAUGUUUUUGUUGAACAUAUGUUAUGUUUGGAGAAUUUUAUUUAUAUUUUUAAUAAGAGGAAGAAUAAAGGAUGGAAAAAGGUGA